rnacentral:rRNA from 1 species
CUACGGGAGGCAGCAGUGAGGAAUUUUGCGCAAUGGGGGAAACCCUGACGCAGCAACGCCGCGUGAGUGAUGAAGGCCUUCGGGUCGUAAAGCUCUGUCAAGUGGGAAGAACCUAGCAAAGGGUAAUAUUCUUUGUUACUGACGGUACCACUGAAGGAAGCACCGGCUAACUCCGUGCCAGCAGCCGCGGUAAUACGGGGGGUGCAAGCGUUAUUCGGAAUUAUUGGGCGUAAAGGGCGCGUAGGCGGUUUUGUUAGUCAGAUGUGAAAGCCCGGGGCUCAACCCCGGAAGUGCAUUUGAUACUGCAAGACUUGAGUAUGGGAGAGGGAAGUGGAAUUCCUGGUGUAGAGGUGAAAUUCGUAGAUAUCAGGAGGAACAUCAGUGGCGAAGGCGACUUCCUGGACCAAUACUGACGCUGAGGCGCGAAGGCGUGGGUAGCAAACAGGAUUAGAUACCCCUGUAGUC